GUCAGAACACUAAGGGCGUAUGGUGAAUGCCUCGACAUCAACAACCGACGAAGGACGUAGGAGCCUGCGAAAAGCCUCGGGAAGGUGGCAACCAACCUGUGAUCCGGGGAUGUCCGAAUGGGGUAACCCGGCAGCGAUUGAAUCCGCUGUCAUCCACAUCUGAAUAUAUAGGGUGUGUGAGGAGGACCAAGCGAACUGAAACAUCUUAGUAGCUUGAGGAAAAGAAAACAAUCCGUGUGACAGAUUUUGGAAGCAUCGGCAACGGUGCAUCCGGACAUCCGUCACACAUAUUCCCUGAGUAGUGGCGAGCGAAACGGGAAGAGCUCAAACUUUUAGAUCUGCUUCCGCAAGGGAGCAAGGUUCACAAGACCGCAUGUUCUGAGGGUGUUGCGAGUGAGUAACGUCUAAAGCUUGUCCUCGUGAAAACGGGGACCUGAAGAUCUGGAUACCGGAUCAAGUCCGGUAUCACCCUUCGGGUGACUUUAGGAGUAAAGCGCAUGUCUGACCACUCCCCCUGUCUCCCCCUCUCCUCCCCGCGAAAGCGGGGACCGAGGAGAGGGGGCCGGGGGGUGAGGUCACGACCAGUUCAUAGCCGAAGUGGCCUGGAACGGCCCGCCAAAGAGAGCGAUCGCCCCGUAGGCGAAAUGAACCCUCAAAAGCUUUACUGGUUAUUCGACUCGAGUAGCAUGAGACACGUGAAAUCUUGUGCGAAACCGGGAGGACUAGACUCCCAAAGCUAAAUAUUGUUGGUGAUCGAUAGUGAACAAGUACCGUGAGGGAAAGGUGAAAAGCACCCCGGUGAGGGGAAUGAAAUAGUAUCUGAAACCAUAUGCUUACAAGCAGUCGUAGUCCCCGCGCAAGCGGGGAUGUCGGCGUGCCUAUUGAAGAAUGAACCUACGAGUUGUUUCAACCUACAAAGAUUAAGGUCGAGUAGACCGAAGUCGCAGUGAAAGCGAGCCUUCAAUGGCGAUUGCUCUGAUUGAGCUGGUGUCCAAGCGCAAGUUUGGUCCCCUGCUCAUGACGAGAUAGUAGUUUGAAACAGACCCGAAGCCGGGUGAGCUACCCAUGACCAGGAUGAAGCGGCGGUAAAACGUCGUGGAGGUCCGAACCCGUGAGUCGUGCAACGCUCUGGGAUGAGUUGUGGGUAGAGGAGAAAUUCCAAUCGAACUCGGCGAUAGCUGGUUCUCCGCGAAAUAGUUUUUGGACUAGCGUUGGAUGUUUCACAUUGGUGGUAGAGCACUGAAUGGGAUCACGUGGAGCAAUCCUAGUGAUUCCAACCAAACUCCGAAUGCCAGUGUGCCAAGUCCAGCAGUCAGUCCGUGGGGGCUAAGCUCCACCGGACGUGAGGGGAAGAACCCAGAUCUCCAGUUAAGGUCCCAAAAUCGAUGCUCAGUGUUAAAAGGCAGUGUUGGGGCUCAAACAACCAGGAGGUUGGCUUAGAAGCAGCCAUCCUUUAAAGAAAGCGUAAUAGCUCACUGGUCGAGCCUUGGUGCGCCGAAAAUGUAUCGGGACUUAAGCAUCGUACCGAAGCUGAGGAAUGGAUCGUCAGUGAUGAUGAUCCUUUGGUAGCGGAGCGUUCUGUACGCGUCGAAGCGGGCCGCGCGAGCAACCGUGGAGUGUACAGAAGUGAGAAUGUAGGUAUAAGUAGCACAACAGCGGGUGAGAACCCCGCUCGCCGUAAAUCCAAGGUUUCCUGGGCAACGCAAAUCGUCCCAGGGUGAGUCGGGCCUAAGGUGAGGCCGAAAGGCGUAACUGAUGGACAGCAGGUUAAUAUUCCUGCACGACGACGUGAUUAUCCUUAUGAUGACGCAUGUAUUGAUUCCACUGGUUCUUUGGUUAUGGACCAUCCCGCCAAAAGGCGGGAGCAGAUUGGCUCGCGAGAGCCGACCAAUGUGGGAAAUGUAUGGGCCGAGAAAAGUCAUGAGGUUACGUCACGGCGUCUCCGUACCGGAAACCGACACAGGUGGAUGGGCAGCAAAUCUGCCAAGGCGUACGAGAGAACCCUCGUUUAGGAACUCGGCAAAACAGUGGUCGUACCUUCGGUAUAUGACCUACCCCACACCAAUCGGGGUGAUAAUGACUUUUUAAAGAAGCGAAAAUUCAAGGUCCGAAUUCGCUUUGAAGGAAAGAUACAUUGUCAAUCGAUUGGUGUGGGGUUGCAAUAAAUGACGUCAACCGACUGUUUACCAAAAACACAGGUCCCUGCGAAAGCGUAAGCUGAUGUAUAGGGGCUGAUGCCUGGCCAGUGUCAGAACGUUAAGGGGAGAGGUGCAAGCCUUGAUCCGAAGCGCUGAUGAACGCCGGCGAUAACUAUAAUCGUCCUAAGGUUUGCCACAUCAUGAAGAUGGUGUGGUGAAGGACUAGGACGGUUGUAUGAGGUAAAUAGUCCCACGAGUUCCAAAGAAAAUAAUGUAGCGUGCCAAUUCAUUGGCAUCAUACAUGUGCAGCGAAAGGAAUAGUAACUGCCUCGUUAUACAGUAAUGUAUAAAUGGUCCUGCUAAAUGAGAAUGAUUCUCGUUAGCGAAAACUUGUCCGACACAAUAUUGCCAAAAACAAUACUGGUCGGAUCCGCCAAAGUCCCGAGCAUAGUCGAGGGGCGACGGCGGAGCUAUAUCGGUGAAACCCCUUCGAUAAACUCAGGGCAACACCGAGGGAAGUCAAUCGAAACUGAGAGAAGGAUAGGGUGAAAUAGCUAGCUCGGAGCGUGAGUCUGGGCGAAGCUAACGAACUGUGAUGGGGAAACCCAGAACAACGUUUUCCGUCGUGCUGUCACACGGCAGAAUGGACGAGCAAUCGUCCCACCCUACUCCCCCGUUCCUCGGUCGAGCCAAAAACUCGACCCCUUCUCCCAGUUUCGAUUUGACCCCGUAACGACUAAACGCCAGAAGAACGGAAGUCAGAAAUCAGAAGUUGGAAGUCAGGUCGUUCAAACCGACCUCUGACCUCCAACAUCCGACCUCCGCUCUUAAGAUAUAGUCUGAUCUGCAUAGCAAUAUGCAGAGCGCAGCAGAAAUGACUGCGCCUCGCAACGAAUCAACGAAUUAACCAAUCAACGAGUUAACUCGUGUUGCGUAGCAACAAUCAGAGCGAAAUUCCUUGUCGGGUAAGUUCCGACCUGCACGAAUGGCAUAACGAGUUGACGACUCUCUCAACGAGGGACUCGGCGAAAUUACAAGACGAGUAAAGAUGCUCGUUACCCACAGUUAGACGAAA
rnacentral:rRNA from 1 species